rnacentral:misc_RNA from 1 species
UCUCCGUAGGUGAACCUGCGGAGGGAUCAUUACCGAGUGAGGGCUCACGCCCGACCUCCCACCCUGUGUGAACACAACUUGUUGCUUCGGGGGCGACCCUGCCGUUUCGACGGCGAGCGCCCCCGGAGGCCAAUUAUUAAACUCUGCAUCUCUUGCGUCGGAGUCUUAAAGAAAUUUAAACAAAACUUUCAACAACGGAUCUCUUGGUUCUGGCAUCGAUGAAGAACGCAGC